rnacentral:rRNA from 1 species
AUUGAACGCUGGCGGCAGGCCUAACACAUGCAAGUCGAGCGAACGGCGGACGGGUGAGUAAUGUAUGGGCAUCCGCCCGAUAGAGGGGGAUAAAUACUGGAAACGGUGUCUAAAACCCCCAACUACCGUUUGAACCUAUAUGGGAUUAGCUAGUGGGUGGGGUAAUGGCUAACCUAGGCGACGAUCGCUAGCGGGUCUGAGAGGAUGACCGGCCACACUGGGACUGAGACACGGCCCAGACUCCUACGGGAGGCAGCAGUGGGGAAUAUUGCACAAUGGGCGCAAGCCUGAUGCAGCCAUGCCGCGUGUAUGAAGAAGGCCUUAGGGUUGUAAAGUACUUUCAGCGGGGAGGCGUUACCCGCAGAAGAAGCACCGGCUAACUACGUGCCAGCAGCCGCGGUAAUAC